rnacentral:rRNA from 1 species
UACGGGGGAGCAAGCGUUGUUCGGAUUUACUGGGCGUAAAGGGCGCGUAGGCGGCCACCGCAAGUCGACUGUGAAAUCUCCGGGCUUAACCCGGAAAGGUCAGCCGAUACUGCGGGCUAGAGUGCAGAAGGGGCAACUGGAAUUCUCGGUGUAGCGGUGAAAUGCGUAGAUAUCGAGAGGAACACCUGCGGCGAAGGCGGGUUGCUGGGCUGACACUGACGCUGAGGCACGAAAGCGUGGGGAGCGAACAGG